rnacentral:misc_RNA from 1 species
GGGCCGUGUAGCUGCUAUUUUACCACCAUUUCCUAUUUGAGCGAAUCCUGGUGAUUGGUGACUGUUUUGAGUGGAUGUUAUGGCCUGGAAUCAAGGAGAGGGAAGCUCAUCUGGGAUCAAGUUCGAUGAAGGGGGUGGAUUUAGUUUUAAUUGGGAAGAAGAGGAGUUCGAUGAACUGCUGAUUUGUUGCCUUCGGAUCCGUUUAAUAUGGAAUGUAGGAACCAAAGGACGGGUUUUUCAACCAUGACCAGUUGGUUAGAGGAUUUUUGGUUUAAGAUAGAUGAGAAUGAGGUUGCGAAACUUGAUUCUUUCUUGAUUCGCAAGAUGGGAAUUCAUCAGG